AAGUGGAGCAAAACUGGCCUGGAAAAAUAUGUCCUUUUGUACCGAGAUGGACACUUUGAUCCAGCCAACCAGCAUCCAUCUUUUAUGAACCGGGUGGAUCUGCAGGACAGACAGAUGAAGGAUGGAGACGUGUCUUUGAUUCUGAAGGAUGUGACGACUGCUGAUAGUGGAACAUACGAGUGUCGUGUCCUCAUGGGUGGAACAAAAAAUGCCCUCAGCAUCACACUGAGAGUUGUUGAUCCUCCAGGUCAGACAGGAGGAGACACAGAGGAUGGAGGGAAGAGGAUGGAUCUGUUGGACUGAAAGUUGGUCUUCCAGUUGCUGUUUUUCUUCUUUUUGUUGUUGUUGUUGUUUUUCUUAUCUAUAGAAAACAUCAGAAAGGUGUUUUAUAACUGAAUUGUUAAAAAAAGGAAGGAGGCAGGAGGACGCACAGAGGCUGUAUCUGUUGGACUGAUUGUCAGUCUGUCAGUUUCUGCUGUUCAAAUUUGAGAAUUUUCAAUGUUUUCUUUGAAAAUCAAUAAUUAUCCUAACAAACACCAACAGAGGAUGCUCAAUUUUACUCUGUCAGAUGACAAAUAUGUCUAGAUUUCAUUUUGAUUUUGCAUUUCUCUGAUUAUUAUCAAACCUCAUUAGACUAUUAUAUCACCUUCAAUUUACUAUAUUACAGUCCAACAUUAGAAACAGUGGCUCUAUUUAUUCAGCUUUCCAGGUUAGCUGUUCAUCUCAGUGUAAAAGUUCAAAGCAAAUUCUUUGAAAAGUUCUUUAUAUUUCUUCCUCACUUAUAUGAUGAACAUCUGGGAGUUCCUAUUAUCAACCAAAACACAUCAAACAAAAUUUAGAGAUGCUUUUUUGUGUUUCUCCACACAAAUAUUUCAGAGUGAACUAAUUUCAAACAAAAGAUCUCAUGUUGUUCACAGUUUGAUUUUACACAGUAUUUAUGAGUUCAGUGUCUCGUAUGUUGCAGUAUCAGAAUAACUUCAGGUUCGGCUGUAAGAUCAAACUUUUUCUGUGAGAUUCGAAACACAAAUUAAUCCUCAUGUAGAGAUCAGCUGUUACAGUAUAAUUACUGUCACACAUACUGAACCGACUGACAACACAAACACUGUGUGUGAUGAAGAAAAGACGAAUUACUGUCGAUUAUAGACGAUCAAUAAUCUUCAGCUACAGCUGAAUAAAUGUUAUGAUGGACAGUGUUAUGAAACCAAAGUGAAGGUAAUUAUUUCCAUGUAGCUGCAGAGUCAGAGGUUUCCUCUCUGAUCUGUGAAGCUUUGAACUUUUCCUUCCAUGAAGGAGACGCUUCAGUCUGUUACUGCAGUAU